CUGGUAAACGUCUGAGUCGAUCGAACACGACCCAGGAAAAUUUGGUAAAGGUGAUCAAACACACCUUCAGGUUUAACCUGCAAAUAACACAAAGCCAAGCAUAGAAUGGAGGUGAAGAAGGGGAGAAAGCACUUUAUCUCCCCCGAGUUAUUUGAACUUCGGAAAUUAUACCUUUGUUACGUACCUUUGCUUAAACUUGACAAGAUAUCGGUUUUGCAAAGAUGUUGUUGAAGGUAAACCAAAAAUCGACGGCAGGGGCCGGAUUUCUACUACGGUUGGUGGAUGACGGCGGCGGCCGGCAGAGAAGCGGCCGAUGACGGAAUGCAAGGCAGCCAGGGAGCGGUGGCCAAGGAGCAGUCGGUGGAGCCGAGGGGGCCUGGGGUUUUGGUGAAGAAAAAAAACGGGAACUAUUAGCUCAAGGGUUGAGCCACAAACUGAUAACGUGAUUUAGUGAGAGUUAUUUUAGAGAUAAUCAUGAAAGAGAGAUAUCUUAUUCAUUGAUAGGAGCCCCUUUAUAUAGAGAAUUACAAAGUACCAAACCGGUAAGAUAAGGAAUACAUAAUCAUAUUCUAACUACAUAUCCUAUUGGCAUAAGACCAAGGCACAUAUAAAGAAUAUUCUAGAACAAUAUCGAAAUUUUAAGGAGGGAUCUGGGCCUUCAGGAUAAAUUAGGGCAAAGUACAUCGUUUGUUGUCCACAAGGUCGGUUUACUUCUCAAUGUAAAAGAAAGAAACAAAAAAAAAACAAAAACAAAAAAAAAAUUUCCUAAACACAUGUAAAAACUUUUAGGAACAAUACAUCAACUUCACAUCUGAUAAUGAAAGUUUCUCAACUUUUAGAAAUAACACAUCGGUUAUCAUAACAAUCUCGUCAUCAUUUUCAAAAACGUUGUUUAUAACUUAUCUGUUAAGUAGCUCGUUUAGUAUGUAAGGAUUUCUACCUUAUGAAACUUUGAAUGUUAUCUAUGGUUGUAAUUUCACAUUUUAAUUUUCAAGAUCAAUUUGUUUGGGGUUUCACUGGACUUUGAACUUUACAAUCAAAUCAGCUUCUAGUUUACUUCAGUCUCAUACACCUGCACAUAUUAAAGUUGACAUUUUGAUCGAAAGUCAAAAGUUUUUGCUUGGCAACUUAUUAGAGACAAACUACUCACUAUUGAUUUAUUCUCAAAACACAAAGAACCCCUAAAGCCGCGAGAAAAGCCCUUAUUGUCUGGUGGCGAUCGAUGACAUCGUUGGCGUUCGCCACGUUUUUGUAAGGUUUGCUGCCAGACAGGACUCUAAUUGCCCUGGGAGGAGGUUUAGAAGACAAGGUUGUCGAACCCAUGGCUUUUGGCAAAGAUUUGAUUAUAGGUACUAUGGGCUUCAUCUCUUGGCGUUGAGGAUGGGUUUAUGUGUCGGCUUUGAAUCGUUGUCGUAGGCUGUUGGAGGUUUGGGGUAGGGUGCUGCAGCGGUGUCUGCCCAAGCGGCGCUGAACCUCAGUGACAACGCUUGUGAGAGCGAUUUUAGGGUGGUUUGUUGCGAGACCGGUGGAGACGGUGGUUGUUGUGGACGGCGGCACUACGGAACUGCAUUUGUUGCUGUUCAGGCGGCUGGGGGGUGGUGGAGAUGGUGUUUGGGGCUUGGGCAAAUUCGUUCUUGUUGGGCCUGUGUUGGGCUUCUUCCUCUUCAGGCUGUCUUGAGGCUUGCUAAUUAGGGCUAGGGUUUUGCCUUAGUCAUUUUAAGUAUUUAAACACAAUAAUUUCCUAGUUUUUGGAACCUAAGCAUAUGUCGUGCCUCAUGUGUCUUGUAGCGGUGUGAGUCUAUUUUUUCUACAGUUCUUUUUCUAUUUUUCUAGUUUGGACUUUGGCAGAUAAUUAAUCUAUUUCCUAUGUGAUUAUAGGCUCAUUUGUGUUUUUAAAUGAGCGGAAUUGUGUAAGGAGGGUAUUAUCCUAAGUGAAUCACUCGAUCUAUAUGCAUGAUAGUUGAUCGAUUCAUGAUGUAACCUCUAUUUGCGAUUGAGUGAAAUAUCUUCCACUCAAACAAAAAAAAGCCAACGUUUAUUCUCAAUUUAUUCAUGAUCGUUCUUAUCAUCCUAUCACAUUCAUUUAGAAAUUGUGGUCUAUUUAUUUUUUUGUGUCCUUUUAUUGUUGCUAUUUGGAUUCACUCUAGUAUAUCCUUUGAUUCUAGUUAUUGCAAUAAUAAAUUUAUUUCCCUUCCGCUCCAGAAAUCAAGAAAAAAAAAAUCCCAACUCGAUACAGUUAUACCCAAAAACUCAAAUUCUUCAUAGUUCUUCUCCUGCAAAAUAGCCAGAAAAACUAGUCCGGUCUUGCGCCAAAUCGCAUUCCUGACAUGAUGCAAAUCCGUACCUUUGACAGUCCUUCCGCCACCGAAAACGUGGUCGUCGCCGACACUCUCAACUCCCUCGUCACUAGCUCAUGCGGCGGGAGCGCAUCUCCUCCUCCCAACCCUUGUCAUCGUCAUCUACCACGUUAGCAAGAUCGUCGAGGUUUCUGCCUCGUUGCAUCAUCAACGCCUUGGAUAGCAUCGGUACCUUCGUCGGCGCCGAGUGUUGCUGGAACCUUAUGGAAGGCACCGAUUGACCCCGCCACCGUCAGAGGGUUGACUCUGUGCAGAUGGCCUUGGAAUCGAAGGGAUGGGCUUGGAAGGGGAGGAGAGUGAGGGUUUGCGGUAGAGGACUUGGGUCACGCAAUCGGACUUUAGUAUGAUUGCAAGGAUUCCAGACUUUUGGGGGCGGGUGAAGCUGACGCGGUGGUUGGUGGUGGUGGUGAUCGAAGGAGACGUCGCCGCACUCCACCCAUAACAGGCGGCGUACACUAGGUUGAAAUUAGGGUUGGAUAGGGAAUAGAGAUUUUGAUUUUAGGGGUGGUGUCGAUGGUUAUUGUAACGUGAGAGAGUGGGUGUGAGUUUGGCAAAUAUGGAGAGCUUGGAGGGCUGGCCAUGGCCGGAGGUGCAGAGAAGCACGAGGAAAGAUUGAGAGGCAAUGAAGAAGAAAAAAGAAAAAAAGAGAAAAAAAAUAUAGAGAUAAAAAGUUAUUGUGAUAAGGGGUAGUUUGGAUUUUUUAUCUAAAUUAAUGAUUAAAAAUUAGACAUGGGUCCCUUGUGUUUUCUUAAGCCGGAUGAUGACGUCAUUAUUAGACCAAAUUUGAAAAUUUUCUCUGUUUUAAUGGAUUUUGAGAGUUUAUGGGUACACGUGAUGGAAAAAAAAAGAAUGAAAGGCACAACUGAUGAGUGACCUAAAGUUCAAAGUAGCACACUAAAUUUAAUCAUUUUUCAUAAUAAAAAAAAAAUGAAAGAGUAUAUAUAGAUACUUUGAGAAUAUAAAUUGAGAAAUUAAUAUUGUUAAAAGUUUCAUUCAUUUGAAUUUUAAACAUUAUUUAUUUUUAUUUUUAUGUAUUUUAUCAAUUAUUAAUAUUUAUAUAUAUUUAAUUAAUUAAUUAUUACUUUAUAUAUUUGUUGGGACAUAAAGAGAG
rnacentral:lncRNA from 1 species